rnacentral:lncRNA from 1 species
AAUUAACUUUUGUGCUUCAGAGGACACUAUCCAGAAAGUGAAACAACAGUAUGGAAGAAAGUUUUUGCAAAUCAGCUGAGUGCGGUGGCUCACACCUGUAAUCCCAGCACUAUGGGAGGCCGAGGUGGGUGGAUCAUGAGGUCAAGAGAUCAAGACCAUCCCAGCCAACAUAGUGAAAUCCCGUCUCUACUAAAAAUACAAAAAUUAGCUGGGUGUGGUGGCGGGUGCCUGUAAUCCCAGCUACUCAGGAGGCUGACGCAGGCGAAUCGCUUGAACCCAGGAGGUGGAAGUUGCAGUGAGCCGAGAUCACGCCAUUGCACUCCAGCCUGGCGACAGAGCAAGAUUCCAUUUCAAAAAUAAACAAAUAAAUAAAUAAAGUUUUUGCAAAUCACAUGAGGAUCUAGUAUUCACAGUAUACAUAUAAACUCCUGGCCAGGAGUGGUGGUUCAUGCCUGUAAUCCCAACACUUUGGGAGACUGAAGCAGGAGGAUCACUUGAGGCUAGGAGUUCGAGAUCACCGUGCUGCACUCAGCCUGGGUAAGAGCAAAAGCCCAUCUCUAAAAGGAAGAAAAAAAAACAACUGUUACAACUCAAGAUAAAUCAUUCAAUUAAAAAUAGGCAAGAGGUUUGAAUAGACUCCUCUCCAAAGGAGAUACACAAAUGGCCAGUAAGCCCACGAGAAGAUGUUCAGUAUCCUUCUCCAAUGCUGCUGUGAACAUGGGGGCACAAGCUUCUGCAUGGACAGGUUUUCACCUCCUUUGUUUUAUACAUUGGAAGGAACUGCAUGGAUAAACCUUGAAAACAACGCCAAGUGUAAGAAGCCAGGGACAAGAGGACACAUGUAUGAAAAGGCACAUCCAGAAACAGAAAGCAGAUGAUUGAACGGUUCACUAGCCUUUGUGUUUGUGUUAAAAACAGCAUUUGCACCAAAGUGGGUUUCCCAGAGUUCCUCUGAGUGGUCGCCUCCUGGCUGGGGAAUGCACGCUCUGAAGGCUGAGCUGCACACACAUUCCGUCCGUGCUGAACCCCACACCACGACACGCACUGGCCUCACA